AUAGACCCCUAAGAUCACCACUUGGAUAUGGAUAUGGGCUUGCCUGUCUGGGAGCAACAUCUGGGGGGCACCUCCCACGAUGACUGCAAGAGGGAAUACGACGAGGAUAGAGAGGGAGGGGGGAAAAGAGACGUUAUCGCCAUUACACCAUCCGAUGAGCAAGAGCAGACGAGGAGUGGGUCCCGUUCUCCGUGUUUGCCAUCUUCUCGAGGCCAGCCAGGGCGGCGCCAGGCUCGGUGUUGUGCAGCUUCUCCAGGCUGCCCGUCAGGCCUCCCACGGGCGAGCUACCGCCAUUACCCACGCUCCCCGACAGGGAGGGCGGCAGGCCGCCGUUCUGGAUGACCGAGAUCUCGUUGGUCUUCAUGGCCAGGCCGUUGGAGAAGGCGGCGGCGUACUGGUUCCAGAAGCUGGCCGGGUCCCCGUUGCCAG